AGGAUAGAUGGUGAAGCCAAGUUUCGACUUCUUCCCAUAAUCCACAGACAACCUCUCCAACAACAACGACCCCAGCCCAGAUCCGGUACCCCCACCCACAGCAUUAAACACCAAAAACCCCUGCAGCCCAGUGCAGUUAUCCGCAAGCUUCCUCACACGAUCCAGGCACAGAUCCACGAUCUCCUUCCCCACUGUGUAAUGUCGCGAAUAAUAAUCUUGAAGGACCGAUCACUGAGAACUUGAGCUCUUGUGUCAAUCUUAAUAGUCUGAAUGCACACGGCAACAGAUUAAAUGGAACAAUCCCACGCUCGUUAAGAAAGCUCGGCAGUAUGUCAUACCUUAAUUUGUCGUCAAACAAUCUGAAGGGUCCAAUUCCUAUCGAACUAGCAAAUAUCAGUAACUUGGAUACUCUUGAUCUUUCACUUAAUGGAAUAAACGGCCCUAUCCCUUCUUCCAUGGGUGAACUCGAGCACCUUUUGAAACUAAACUUGAGCAACAAUUUUCUUGUUGGUUACAUUCCCGCUGAGUUUGGAAAUUUGAGGAGUAUCAUGGAGAUUGAUCUGUCGAGUAAUCGCCUCUCAGGCCCCAUUCCUCAAGAAAUUGGGUUAUUACAGAAUCUGGAUUCACUGAAAUUAGAAUAUAACAACUUCUCUGGUGAUAUAAUGUCUCUAACCAACUGCUUCAGUCUUACUGUUCUAAAUGUGUCGUACAACAAUUUGGUUGGUGAUGUUCCUACAACAAAUAAUUUCUCACGAUUUUCUCCGGAUAGCUUUGUUGGUAAUCCUGGCCUUUGUGCCACUUGGAUCAACUCUCCAUGCCAUGUAGCCCAUACACCUGAGAGAGUCAUAAUAUCAAAAGCCGCCAUCCUGGGAAUUGCUGUAGGAGCCCUUUUACUAUUACUGAUGAUCCUAGUGGCUGCGUGCAGGCCACACAAUCCACCACCUUUCUUAGAUGUCUCUCUGAAUAAACCAGUAACCAACAUAUCACCGAAACUGGUGAUCCUCCACAUGAACAUGGCGCUUCAU
rnacentral:misc_RNA from 1 species